GUUUGGUUCACUAUGAGAUGGGGAUGCGGCGUAUUAGUUAGUAGGUGAGGUAAUGGCUCACCUAGGCGAUGAUACGUAGCCGAACUGAGAGGUUGAUCGGCCACAUUGGGACUGAGAUACGGCCCAGACUCCUACGGGAGGCAGCAGUAGGGAAUUUUUCACAAUGGACGAAAGUCUGAUGAAGCAAUGCCGUGUGAGUGAUGACGGCCUUUGGGUUGUAAAGCUCUGUUGUAAGGGAAGAAAAAAUAGAGUAGGAAAUGCCUCUAUAUUGACGGUACCUUACCAGAAAGCCACGGCUAACUAUGUGCCAGCAGCCGCGGUAAUACAUAGGUCGCAAGCGUUAUCCGGAUUUAUUG
rnacentral:rRNA from 1 species